GUCCUUACUCGACCAAGACCUCUCUCUCUCUCUCUCUCUCUCUCUGACCAGUAGUAUCUUCUUCCAGGGUCUGCCUGCCUUCAUCGCGCUCAUCAUUAUCAUCAUCUUGUGGGUUCAAUUUCUUCGUCUUUGUCGCCACCAUCGUCUUCGUCGUUGCCAUUUUUCGUUCCAUUACUUCCCUGAGUUAUUACGCACUCCUUUUCUUGCAACCAACUUCUGUGGCUGUGGACUUCUUAUAUUCCUGCCACCUCCUUUCGUCCACCGAUCGGUCAUUUAAGGGCUUCAGUUGGUGAUCCUGAUUGCUCCCUCCCUUAUUUUUAUUGUUAUUGUUCUCGUACCACAGACCCAUUAGCUCUCUCUCUCUUUUUCUCAACCUACCGCCUUUAUCACUGGGCCGUCAGUUUACUGAGUCCUCCCGGGUGCUUCCUGUUUUCUUUCUUCCUCUUCUCUCACAGCUGAAAAUCACAGGCACAUCCUCUCUCUCUCUCUCUCUCUCUCUCUCUCUCUCUCUCUCUCUCUCUAAAAGCAUGGAAGGGUUUGGAGAAAUAAGAAUCGUAGACUCCAGUGAGAUAUCUCUGCAUCGGUCUGCCGCCGCUGCACGAACACCGGCUAAUUGCUCAAGGACGGACAUGCCAGCGACCACACCUGGUCGGCAUGACUCAAUUAUGGAGCUGGACUUCUUUUCCAGGGAUGCAACCAAAGAAGGCGAUACCUGUGGAGAAGCACCUGCGGCGAUCCAUGGCAAAGAAGAUGCUCCAGUUUUUCAUGGCGGUUCACGCGAGAAAUGUGAUUCCUGUUCCAUUAUAGGAUUGAGUUUACUGACUACAAGCUCCGAGUAUCAGCGCUCUCCAGAUGCUGAUCAAACUAAGAACGAGGUGGUGACUCUUCAGUCAGAGCUGAAUAGGUUGAAAGAGGAAAAUCUCAUGUUGAAAGCCAUGUUGGAACAAAUCGGAAAGAGUUACAGCUCGUUAGAGUCGCAGUUAUAUCUCGGAUUGCAGCAUCAAAAUAGAUUAAUGCCGGAGACUAAGCAGUGCAGUUCUCUUGAAGGUGGCAGCAUCCUGGUGCCACGCUUCUUGGACCCAGCUCCCUUCAGUCCGCCGGAUCUUGAUGUGGUGCCAAGGAAACUUGAAUUCGAUCCAUUUUUCCCUGGCAAAUAUAAUGACGGCGAUGAAAAUAUUGCAGACCGGAUUUCAGAGAGCAGUGGCAGCAUCCGGACUUCUGCAUUAGGACAAGGGGCCGUCUCCGAUCGAUCUUCAGAAAUUGGUAGCCGAAGGACGAGGGUCUGCGUGCGGACAAGAUCAGAAGCGUCUGUGAUAAGCGAUGGAUGCCAAUGGAGAAAAUACGGCCAAAAGAUUGCCAAGGGGAAUCCUUGCCCCAGAGCGUACUAUCGCUGCACCAUGGCUGCCGGAUGUCCAGUCCGAAAGCAGGUUCAAAGAAGCGGUGAGGACAAGACAGUACUCAUCACAACAUAUGAGGGGAGCCACAACCACCCUCUGCCACCAACUGCUGCAGCAAUGGCAGCAACUACUUCUGCAGCGGCAACCAUGCUUCUGGCCAACUCGUCUUCCUCAGCUACUACCAUUCUCCACCCCAGCUUCUUCCCAAUGCCACCCAACUUCCCUUCCAGUACCAUGGCUACAUUAUCUGCCUCUUCACCAUUCCCAACAGUCACCUUAGACCUGACCCAACACACAAACCCUACCCUGGACCUUCUUCACUUCCAACCUCAACCACCCCAGCCUUCUUUCUCUCUAUCUCUGCCCAAUUGUGCUCCAAUUGUGGGUCAACCUCUAUACAGUUCAACUAAAUUGGCCGGACAUCCGGUGGGCCUUAUGCCAGUGCAGUUCGCGCCACGCCAACCGCCGUCGUUGGCAGAUUCUGCAAAAGUUGGAGCUGCUACAGCAUCGUUUGCUACUGUCCCGAACUUCACGGCUGCUUUAGCCGCCGCUAUCUCCUCUAUCGUGGGGACUGCAACAAGGAACGUGACUAACAAUGGUGGCAGCGGCAACAACAUGAACAUGAACAGUUGCAGCAACAAUAGUGCCGGUAGCAAUGGCGCUGGCAGUAAUGGCAACAAAUCCAGCGACGACAGCCGGCAGGGCCAUUCGGAUGACCACAGCUUCCAAAAAUAUGCACCACUUUCUUUUUGAUCGAACGGAGACGCCACCAGCUUGAGCUGGAAGAGGAGACUGGCUACUGUGUUUCAUACUAAGCCGACCAUUUUCAAGUUCCUACGGCGGCAUCAGACCGUCGUGCCAAAUAUGGUUCACAGAAGGGGUUCACACCAGACGUCCCCAGUUCCGCCCUUUUCGGCUAAAAGAUUGAUUGCAGGCAGUUAGCUGCGCGAAGAACGUGGCAUCGUUUGAAUUGCACAUGGAGGGCAGAAGGAGAUGGAUCAGACGAGUUUCACGGUGAACCUAAAGAAAGCGAAUUAGAAGAACUACUCUUGAAGUAAUCCAGCUUCUACAUGCCAAAUUGGAAUUAGUCCAUGGAUUCUUCUUCCACUUUCCUGAACGAGUUCCCGACCUCUUCUGCGCGUACCUUCUCGAUCCACUCUUUAUGAGACCUGAACCAUCAGCACCCACAUGACAGCCAUGGCCGAUCACCUUACCAUCGCAACCCUUGGUCUGAUGUCAUGCACCUCAGUAAAUUUGGUACUUAGAAGAUCUGAAGAGGAGAUGGGUACAAUUACAGAACCAGAAAAGUCUAAUUAAAGA